rnacentral:rRNA from 1 species
GAUGAACGCUGGCGGCGUGCUUAACACAUGCAAGUCGAACGGAAAGGCCCAAGCUUGCUUGGGUACUCGAGUGGCGAACGGGUGAGUAACACGUGGGUGAUCUGCCCUGCACUUCGGGAUAAGCCUGGGAAACUGGGUCUAAUACCGGAUAGGACCACAUUUUGGAUGGUGUGGUGGAAAGUUUUUCGGUGUGGGAUGAGCUCGCGGCCUAUCAGCUUGUUGGUGGGGUAAUGGCCUACCAAGGCGUCGACGGGUAGCCGGCCUGAGAGGGUGUACGGCCACAUUGGGACUGGGAUACGGCCCAGACUCCUACGGGAGGCAGCAGUGGGGAAUAUUGCACAAUGGGCGCAAGCCUGAUGCAGCGACGCCGCGUGGGGGAUGACGGCCUUCGGGUUGUAAACUCCUUUCGCUAGGGACGAAGCGCAAGUGACGGUACCUGGAGAAGAAGCACCGGCUAACUACGUG